UGCUGGAAGGAUGUUUGAAGUAAGGCAUGUGCUGAAAAAUAUUUUGUUUGAAAUGGGAUAUGGCAUGUGCCUGAAGCACGUGACUUGGCUUGACAUGAUUUAUCUUCUGGUUUUCCCUCAUUCUCUUCUUUCUUCUUCUUCUCCAAGACCCAAACCCGUGGGUAUUGUGCAUCAGUACAUAAGUCAUAUUUCGGAAGCUCGGAUCAGAAAACUUCCUUGAUGAAAGUUGCUCAUCUGCUCGAGUACUAUAGCCUGUAAAAUUUUCUGAUUUCUUUGAAUUUUUCUGAUGCCUCAAAGCUGGUCUGCAACUUCUGUGUUCAUCCAUGGCUGGUGUAUACGUCUCUGGCACAGGCAGGGGGGGUGCCGAAAGCCUGCGUUGUAUCCAUUGUCGCUGGAAGCUUCGAAUGUACCAAUUUCGCAACUUGGCAAUUUGGAUUUCUAUCUCGAUUUCUCAGUAAAUAGUUCUGCUCCUUCACUGGAAUCUUGAGUCUUUCUUUUGGCUUUGUAGGAAUAGACAUAGACUGGUGUUUGGCCUAGACUUGUUUUUCUUGUGAACACACGCUUGAUUAAAUCUGGACUUUUCUCCGAUCUUGUGGAAAUAGAAAUUGACAGAAUGCAUGCUCUGCAAUGCUUGAAUCUUUUUGUAUUUUGAGGGAGAAUUUGCUUGUCAUGGGAAUUGCUUGAGAAUUUUGCUUGCCAUGGAUAAAUUGCAUGCUGCUUUGCUAUUUGCUUAAGCCUUUUCUUUGGCGCGAGCUUGACUUGCCAUGCUUGGCGUCUACUUUGCGUGUGCUACGUUCUUGACCACCUUCUUUGAUUGAACUAUAUGCAUUACGAGCGUAUGCUUGUAAUUUGUGAAAGGGUCUGCUGGAAUGACUGAUUGAGCAUGGAAAGGGAACUUUGCUUGUCAUAAGCUCGAGUAAUAGAUUGCAUGAUGCUUCAAAUUUUUUUGUUUAUGCAUUUCGCUUGGCAUGAGAUAACUUGCUUUGCUUGGCCUGUGAAGUUCAUAUGGCUUGUAUGCUAGCGUGGAGAUUUCUUGGCUUUAACACAGAGAACCUGCUUCAUACUUAGCCCUUUUACAGCAUAUUCCUCAUUGGUAAUUCUUGCAGGGACUCACAUAAUAAGUCCCAAUGACCUUUGUGAUGAGUGAUGGCCUAUUUCCCCUUGCACGACGGGUUGAAGAAUGGACAACUACCUUCAUAGCUUAGAAACACUUACCAAGACUCGAUCAUAGGCACUGAGUAAGCUUAGGAAGCUACUCUCAUUUUCAGGUGUUGUAUAGAAGAAAGACAUGUUUCCGGCGGCCACCUUAUUUUUUUUAAUACCCUUGCAGCAUCACUAAGGGCUGGCCACAGUGGUUCAAUCGCGAGUUGACAGCCCCAACUACCAAAGAUGUUUUGUGAAUGAUUGAAGGUUGGCAAGGAAACAUCCUUUUUUGACCUUACAGCAGCGUGCUGAAAGGGCUUAAGCGUGUGUCUUAUUAGGAUUUUGCAUGGACUUCCCGCUGAAUGCUUAGAAGAAGUUAUAGCACACACUAUUUUUAGAGCACGAGCUGCUUGUAGCAUGAAGAUGUAUGCAUGAUCCCCUUAAGCAAGAGUUGUCGUUAAUGCGUCAAGCCUUCAGGAACAUGAAUUGGAGAGCCAGUGCCGUAAGCUAUGAGACCUUCUCCUUGACAAAUAAGCGAUUGAGAAUGGCGCUCGGUGCAUGGUGGAAACAUCGAAAGGAUCAUCUAAUAGUGCUUCUUCUAUUCUGUUUUAGUCAUGCACCGUGAUCUAAUUGAGGCUGCAUUUCUUUGUUGUAGGGGCUGGCUGGCUCAAUGUGUAGUAGCUUUUCCUUUUGAAACUGCAGGGUGUAUCGAUCUUUAGCAUAGUUGACUGCAUUUGGGCCCGAGUUGUACCCCCUUUUUUUUUUGAGAGCCUAAAGCUCAUGUUGUCGGGAACUUGGAACACAACAUUGUUGCAUACUUUCUGUCAGAACUUUUGAUGUAGAAUGCUUGAGAUAUUGAGCUUCGGCCUGUUUUGUACGUUUUGCUUGGUUGGAAAUAAUGAAAUGCAUGAAUUGUUGCGGUUUGGAAUGCAUUGAGAUAAAGAUUUCCAGCUUGUUUUGUACACUCCGCUUGGUUGAAAUGCAUGAGUUGCUUGAGAUUUUAACAGGUCAGGUUGUGGUAGGUGCAAGGUACGUGCUGCCAAUUUUUUUUAGGUUGAGAACAUCUCACAAGUCGCGGAGGACACACUUCCUACUCCUCCUCUUGGGACGUCCGGCGUAGCUGCCGACACUGCCCUGCGCCUUCCAGCAGCGCAGCCUCCUACUCAUCCUUUUCCAAGCACAUCUGACACAACUGCCGGCACCUCUCCACAGCUUCCAGCAGUGCUGCCUCCUACUCCUUCUUUCCUAAGCACAUCUGACACAACUUCCGGCACCUUUCCACAGCUUCCAGCAGUGCCGCCUCCUUUCCUAAGCACAUCCGACACAACUGCCGGCACCUCUCCACAACUUCCAGCAGUGCUGCCUCAUGGUGAGAUUAUUGAUGACAGCCAUAAAGACGGUGAUGUGGAAAAGCAUGUCUUGGCAAGAUUGAGAGAAUUCCUUCAUGGCGUUCAAGGCCUUCUUUGAUGGUGGUGCUAAGAUCCUUUGAUCUAUCGAUGAGCUUCUUCCGCUUUGUCGCAGGUUCGAUGGUUAGGCACCCUUUCAAGGCACUUUUGUGUAUCCAGAGACGGUUGCGGUUUUGAGGAAAUUUAUGGAUCGAUAUGGGAGUUUCAUGGAGGUCACGGGGGUCAUCUCUUCCUCCUCGAGAAGUGCCGCCUUCCGGGCUCUUGGCUUGGUACUUCAUGGGAUAGAUACCAUGGAGCUCCUUGAUAUUACUGAUCACAAACUACUUUGUUGGCGGACGCGAUAUGUGAGGCCAUAACUCUGGGCUUUCAUGUGGACUUCCCCAUCAAUCUCGUGAGGAACCUAGCAUGUGCUGUCUUUGGAGUGCGGGCCAUUCAUAGCAUGAAAUUAUCACAUGGUUCUAGUGAGGUGAAAGCUGCUGCCGACACUUUGAACAUUAAGCAACAGGAAUUGGAUAGCCAGUGCAGGGAAGUGCAUGCCUUUUUCCUUGCUAAGUGCGUGACGGAGACAACAACCAGAUCAUCUCCUAGGGCUUCUUUCGUUCUUUUUGGGCAUUCUUCAUAGCUUCAAGGUUGUCUCCUCUUGGCUUGGUGACUGAUUAUCUUGGCGCGUGGUUCUGUUCCCUUGAAGACCAUAGGCUGCAUGGGUCUUUAGCAUGUGUAGUUUUAUCUUGCUUUAACUGUAGUUUUUUUUUUUCGUUUUCUUUUGGACACUCUAACGACCCUGUCGUUAUGAAUUCGUAAUGUAGUGUUGAAUCACUGGAGCUUGUAUUAGCUUCCGAAUGCUUGAGGCAUGUUGUAAUUUGCAUG